CAAGCAGUGGGAGCCCCACCACCAAAGCAUUCUCUGGUGUUGAAGGCCCUGCAAAGCAGCAUCGCGGUGGCGGAGCGUCGUUUGCGACGCCCAACACACAAAACAAGCGGUGAGUGCUUUGGGGUGGGGUGACUGCGUACCUUUUGUAUAAUGGGUCAGCGACUUAUAUUCUGUAGCAAGGUUAACCGUAUAGGGGAGCCGAAGGGAAACCGAGUCUUAACUGGGCGUUAAGUUGCAGGGUAUAGACCCGAAACCCGGUGAUCUAGCCAUGGGCAGGUUGAAGGUUGGGUAACACUAACUGGAGGACCGAACCGACUAAUGUUGAAAAAUUAGCGGAUGACUUGUGGCUGGGGGUGAAAGGCCAAUCAAACCGGGAGAUAGCUGGUUCUCCCCGAAAGCUAUUUAGGUAGCGCCUCGUGAACUCAUCUUCGGGGGUAGAGCACUGUUUCGGCUAGGGGGUCAUCCCGACUUACCAACCCGAUGCAAACUGCGAAUACCGAAGAAUGUUAUCACGGGAGACACACGGCGGGUGCUAACGUCCGUCGUGAAGAGGGAAACAACCCAGACCGCCAGCUAAGGUCCCAAAGUCACAGUUAAGUGGGAAACGAUGUGGGAAGGCUCAGACAGCCAGGAUGUUGGCUUAGAAGCAGCCAUCAUUUAAAGAAAGCGUAAUAGCUCACUGGUCGAGUCGGCCUGCGCGGAAGAUGUAACGGGGCUAAACUGUGCACCGAAGCUGCGGCAGCGACGCUUAUGCGUUGUUGGGUAGGGGAGCGUUCUGUAAGCCUGCGAAGGUGUCCUGUGAGGGAUGCUGGAGGUAUCAGAAGUGCGAAUGCUGACAUAAGUAACGAUAAUGCGGGUGAAAAGCCCGCUCGCCGGAAGACCAAGGGUUCCUGUCCAACGUUAAUCGGGGCAGGGUGAGUCGACCCCUAAGGCGAGGCCGAAAGGCGUAGUCGAUGGGAAACGGGUUAAUAUUCCCGUACUUGGUGUUACUGCGAAGGGGGGACGGAGAAGGCUAUGUUGGCCGGGCGACGGUUGUCCCGGUUUAAGCGUGUAGGCUGGUUUUCCAGGCAAAUCCGGAAAAUCAAG
rnacentral:rRNA from 1 species